UACGUAUGGGGCAAGCGUUAUCCGGAUUUACUGGGUGUAAAGGGAGCGUAGGCGGCAGGGCAAGCCUGAUGUGAAAGCCCGGGGCUCAACCCCGGGACUGCAUUGGGAACUGCCCCGCUCGAGUGCCGGAGGGGCAGGCGGAAUUCCUAGUGUAGCGGUGAAAUGCUUAGAUAUCAGGAGGAACAUCGGUGGCGUAAGCGCUUUACUGGGCCAUAAUUGACGCUGAGGAACGAAAGCCAGGGUAGCAAAUGGG
rnacentral:rRNA from 1 species